UACGUAGGGCGCAAGCGUUGUCCGGAAUUAUUGGGCGUAAAGAGCUCGUAGGCGGUCCGUCACGUCUGCCGUGAAAACCCGAGGCUUAACCUCGGGCCUGCGGUGGAUACGGGCGAGCUAGAGGUAGGUAGGGGAGAACGGAAUUCCUGGUGUAGCGGUGGAAUGCGCAGAUAUCAGGAGGAACACCGGUGGCGAAGGCGGGUCUCUGGGCCGUUACUGACGCUGAGGAGCGAAAGCGUGGGGAGCGAACAGG
rnacentral:rRNA from 1 species